rnacentral:lncRNA from 1 species
AAUGAAGCUCAUUCUCUUGUUGUUAAUUACAAUGGAUAAUCACAGUGAUGAGCCUGUUGUGAGUAACUGACUCCGAUUUAAGAUGAUGAUGGGGUUGUGGGGAGAGGACCUGGAUUUGCUACCCAUCCACCAGCAAGCCAAGCUGGAAGGCAGGAGGAGCUAAUACCAUCCUUGCUCUCCUCCCCAGACCUGUGGCUCAGAAUGUCCUGGAAUAAAAGCCCACUUACUAACUGGUCAGUUUUGUCAGAAUGGAUGCAGGCCUGGAGACAGUCAGAGUGGGGAACAUAGCUUUAACCUACUUUACCCCAAGGCCAGCUCUUUAUAUGUCUCUCGGGUUCAGACUAAAAGCGAUCUCGGGUCACUCAUCUUUAAAAAUAGGCAGACUGAGAAAUAGGAAGGUUGAACAAUUCAUUCAGAUUCUACUUAGAUGUCAUUCCCAGAGCCUAAAAUAGUUUUAAAGGGGUCUUAUUUCUCAACCUCCAGGAAGUGCCCCCAAAUG